GGGAGAAGAGGAAAGCCUGGAGCGGAGAUGGAGAUGGAAGAGGUCAAGAGGACGUCGGCGCCGAGGGGGCGGGCAACAUAAGCGCGAGGUGCGCAGCGGAAAGGGGGACUCCGUCCUGGUAAACGCUCACAGCAGGACUGCUGCGGCGGACAGACUGCUGGACCCACACGGGGCGCCGCCUCUCUCCCUAGGGGAGGUCGCCGGUGUCACGAUCUCCGCUGCUGCUAGGGUGGGGAGGCGAGCCGCCGCGUGCCACCGCUUGGAUGCAACCACUGCCCGCCCCUCAUGGCGUUGCGUGUGCGACGACCGAGCGGCAAGGCUGCCGACCCACUACGCCCAUGGCCGCUGCGCGGGCCGAUGUACUGCUGCGUGCGGCCGGCUCCGCACCCUCCUACCGUCGUUGCGCUCUCCGGCCGCCCCGCAGUCUUUCAGCUCGGCUGAUUGAUGAGCCGUGAUGCCGCCUUCAUCCUGUGUGCUAUUGCUCGCGGAUUGGUCUGCAAGGUCUGAUGCUGUGCGUUGAGAUCGGCAGUCGGGCUACAACGGCAGGUUGUUGUCAACUACGUUUUGGAGGACGAUGUGUUAUCUCCUCUAGAAUACCACUUCAGAAGAAUGUAGAGACCUUCUCUGGAAAAUGGAGGACGAAUUCGACCUUCUUUUCAUAUUUCCUCGGUGUUAUAGGAUUUUCAUCGCUCAUCAUUUGAUUGUUCAGGUAUUUUAUCUCCUUUUCUUUAUAUUUCGAUUGAACAUGUUUCUCUUCCUUUCAUAUUAUUAUGAAUGAGAAGGGGAAAAACUUCAGAAAAUGCUUGCCUGCAUAAGAUGGUCAGCCUGAUCAAAGUUGAAACAACACUUGAAUAAGAAGAUUCCAGCAGUGUUUUGUGAGGUGUGGCAUUUCGGUGAGUCUCUCUUCUUCCUACAUGCCUUCCUCUUCUAGCCCAGCCGACAGGUGCGCUCGGUCAGCUUCUUUGAUAGAUCCCAACAUUUUAUUUUUAUCCUCUGUCAACCUAGAUUUUGUCGCCUACCAUGCUGCGUUGUUCGCUUGUGUGGUCUUCAUCAAUUCUAAAAGUGGUGGCCAGCUAAGAAGUUGUCUGAUAAAAUCAUAACGUGAACUUCUCAAUGAAGCACAGUGCAUCCCCUUAACCAUAUGACCACUUUAAUCUAAUAUUUGAUGACGGCUUACUUCUUACAGGUCUUUUCGUAAGCUUUUUUACAUGAUCUUUUCUCCCAAUAUUAUUGUCACAUUUAUAUGCACAAUGAACUGAUACACAUACCCUUUUCAUCCAAGUGUAGAUGUUGGUACCAGAAACAUGCUGUUUAGCGUGUACAAUUUUUUGAUGAUUUCAAACAUGUUUCUUGGGUUCAAAU